AUUGAACGCUGGCGGCAGGCCUAACACAUGCAAGUCGAACGAGUGGCGGACGGGUGAGUAAUGUCUGGGGAACUGCCCGAUGGAGGGGGAUAACUACUGGAAACGGUAGCUAAUACCGCAUACUAUCGGAUGUACCCAUAUGGGAUUAGCUAGUAGGUGGGGUAAAGGCUCACCAAGGCGACGAUCCCUAGCUGGUCUGAGAGGAUGACCAGCCACACGUGGACUGAGACACGGUCCAGACUCCUACGGUGGGAAGCAGUGGGGAAUAUUGCACAAUGGGCGCAAGCCUGAUGCAGCCAUGCCGCGUGUAUGAAGAAGGCCUUCGGGUUGUAAAGUACUUUCAGCGGGGAGGCGUUACCCGCAGAAGAAGCACCGGCUAACUCCGUGCCAGCAGCCGCGGUAAUAC
rnacentral:rRNA from 1 species